rnacentral:rRNA from 1 species
AGAGCGAACGCUGGCGGCAGGCCUAACACAUGCAAGUCGAACGGACCCUUCGGGGUUAGUGGCGGACGGGUGAGUAACACGUGGGAACGUGCCUUUUGGUUCGGAAUAGCCCCUGGAAACGGGUGGUAAUGCCGAAUGUGCCCUUCGGGGGAAAGAUUUAUCGCCAUUAGAGCGGCCCGCGUCUGAUUAGCUAGUUGGUGAGGUAAUGGCUCACCAAGGCGACGAUCAGUAGCUGGUCUGAGAGGAUGACCAGCCACAUUGGGACUGAGACACGGCCCAAACUCCUACGGGAGCAGCAGUGGGAAUCUUGCGCAAUGGGCAAAGCCUGACGCAGCCAUGCCGCGUGAAUGAUGAAGGUCUAGGAUUAGUAAAUUCUUACGACCGGGAC